rnacentral:rRNA from 1 species
AACGAACGCUGGCGGCAUGCCUAACACAUGCAAGUCGAACGAGACCUUCGGGUCUAGUGGCGCACGGGUGCGUAACGCGUGGGAACCUGCCCUUAGGUUCGGAAUAACUCCCCGAAAGGGGUGCUAAUACCGGAUAAUGUCUUCGGACCAAAGAUUUAUCGCCUUUGGAUGGGCCCGCGUUGGAUUAGCUAGUUGGUAGUGUAAAAGCCUACCAAGGGGACGAUCCAUAGCUGGUCUGAGAGGAUGAUCAGCCACACUGGGACUGAGACACGGCCCAGACUCCUACGGGAGGCAGCAGUGGGGAAUAUUGGACAAUGGGCGAAAGCCUGAUCCAGCAAGGCCGCGUGAGUGAUGAAGGCCUUAGGGUUGUAAAGCUCUUUUACCCGGGAUGAUAAUGACAGUACCGGGAGAAUAAGCUCCGGCUAACUCCGUG